GUUUUUCGCACAUGGAAGUUUGAGGCAAUAACAGGUCUGUGAUGCCCUUAGAUGUUCUGGGCCGCACGCGCGUUACAAUGUGUGGUUCAACGAGUUUUUCUUGGUCGAAAGGCCUGGAUAAUCUUCUGAAAUCCACACGUGCUGGGGCUUGCGGCUUGCAACUAGCCGCACCAACGAGGAAUUCCUAGUAGACGCAAGUCAUCAACUUGCAUCGAUUACGUCCCUGCCCUUUGUACACACCGCCCGUCGCUCCUACUGAUUGAAUGCUCCGGUGAAACGUCGGGAGAGCGCUUCGAUAUCAGCAAUGGUUGAAGAGUGCUCGAACUUCCUUAAAUUGUAGUAUUUAGAAGAAGGAGAAGUCGUAACAAGGUUUCCGU
rnacentral:rRNA from 1 species